rnacentral:misc_RNA from 1 species
CACGUUUCCAUUUCCUAUAUUUUUAAAAAUACCGUUUCCCAGUGUCCAUUUCCGCGUUUUCCCGUGUCCGCGUUUCCGUUUCCGUGCUACAUAGACUGCUGGUGUGUGUGCUUCAAUUAUCUCCAACCAAUAGACUAUCUACUGAUGGUGAUAAUUUUUCCUUUUAAUUAAAUAAUUAAAUUUAACUAUCAAAAGCCCAUAAGUCUUUCAUUUUAAUUUUGUCGUAAUGGAAAUGAAAGUUUAAGUUUUCAUUUCUUAAAUUUUCCCUUACAUAUUUUUACUUGAAUUUUUCUUCAAUUUUUACCCUAUAAUUCAAUUCAUUAAUUUCAUUUAAAAAGGUACAUGCCAUGAACAAACAA